rnacentral:rRNA from 1 species
GACGAACGCUGGCGGCGUGCCUAAUACAUGCAAGUCGAGCGGACGAAUCGAAAGCUUGCUUUUGAUUCGUUAGCGGCGGACGGGUGAGUAACACGUGGGCAACCUGCCCUGUAGACGGGGAUAACACCGAGAAAUCGGUGCUAAUACCGGAUAACACGAAAUGUCGCAUGACGUUUCGUUGAAAGACGGCGCAAGCUGUCGCUACAGGAUGGGCCCGCGGCGCAUUAGCUAGUUGGUGAGGUAACGGCUCACCAAGGCGACGAUGCGUAGCCGACCUGAGAGGGUGAUCGGCCACACUGGGACUGAGACACGGCCCAGACUCCUACGGGAGGCAGCAGUAAGGAAUCUUCCGCAAUGGACGAAAGUCUGACGGAGCAACGCCGCGUGAGCGAACAAGGCCUUCGGGUCGUAAAGCUCUGUUGUUAGGGAAGAACAAGUAACGCAGUAACUGGCGUUACCGUGACGGUACCUAACGAGAAAGCCACGGCUAACUACGUG